rnacentral:rRNA from 2 species
GCCAUAGCGCGGUGGACCCACCUGAACCCAUGCCGAACUCAGAAGUGAAACGCCGUAGCGCCGAUGGUAGUGUGGGGUCUCCCCAUGCGAGAGUAGGACAC